CCUCAUCCCACUACGCUCAGCAAGGCGUACGUAUCCCUGACCCAGCACUGGGGCUGGAAGACCUUCACCAUCAUCUACGAGGACAUCGACGGUCUGGUUCGUCUUCAGGAGUUGCUCAAGGCUCCUUCCUCUUCCCACUUCAAGAUCACCAUUCGCCAGCUGCCCCCCGACUCUUCCGACUACAGGCCGCUACUCAAGCGGAUCAAGAAGAGCGGAAGCACCAAGAUAGUGCUGGACUGUCGCUU